CCUACGGGGGGCUGCAGUAGGGAAUCUUUCACAAUGGGCGAAAGCCUGAUGGUGCAACGCCGCGUGCAGGAUGAAGGCCUUCGGGUUGUAAACUGCUUUUAUAAGCGAGAAAUAUGAUGGUAACUUAUGAAUAAGGAUCGGCUAACUACGUGCCAGCAGCCGCGGUCAUACGUAGGAUCCGAGCAUUAUCCGGAGUAACUGGGUGUAAAGAGUUGCGUAGGUGGCAUAAUAAGUAGCUAGUGAAAUCUGGUGGCUCAACCAUUCAGACUAUUAGCUAAACUGUUAAGCUCGAGACCGUUAGGGGUAACUGGAAUUUCUAGUGUAGGAGUGAAAUCCGUAGAUAUUAGAAGGAACACCAAUAGCGUAGGCAGGUUGCUGGGACGGUUCUGACACUAAGGCACGAAAGCGUAGGGAGCAAACGGGAUUAGAUACCCCAGUAGUC
rnacentral:rRNA from 1 species